CUCCUACGGGAGGCAGCAGUGGGGAAUUUUGGACAAUGGGCGAAAGCCUGAUCCAGCAAUGCCGCGUGCAGGAUGAAGGCCUUCGGGUUGUAAACUGCUUUUGUACGGAACGAAAAAGCUCCUUCUAAUACAGGGGGCCCAUGACGGUACCGUAAGAAUAAGCACCGGCUAACUACGUGCCAGCAGCCGCGGUAAUACGUAGGGUGCAAGCGUUAAUCGGAAUUACUGGGCGUAAAGCGUGCGCAGGCGGUUAUGUAAGACAGAUGUGAAAUCCCCGGGCUCAACCUGGGAAUUGCAUUAGUGACUGCAUAGCUUGAGUGCGGCAGAGGGGGAUGGAAUUCCGCGUGUAGCAGUGAAAUGCGUAGAUAUGCGGAGGAACACCGAUGGCGAAGGCAAUCCCCUGGGCCUGCACUGGCGCUCAUGCACGAAAGCGUGGGGAGCAAACAGGAUUAGAUACCCUGG
rnacentral:rRNA from 1 species